rnacentral:rRNA from 1 species
GACGGGGCCCGCACAAGCGGUGGAGUAUGUGGUUUAAUUCGAUGCAACGCGAAGAACCUUACCUGGUCUUGACAUCCCAGAAAUCCCUUUGGAAACUUGGGAGUGCUUCCAUUAGGAAGAAUCUGGAGACAGGUGCUGCAUGGCUGUCGUCAGCUCGUGUCGUGAGAUGUUGGGUUAAGUCCCGCAACGAGCGCAACCCUUGCCUUUAGUUGCCAGCAGUUCGGCUGGGCACUCUAAAGGGACUGCCGGUGUUAAACCGGAGGAAGGUGGGGAUGACGUCAAGUCCUCAUGGCCUUUAUGACCAGGGCUACACACGUACUACAAUGGCCGAUACAAAGGGCAGCGACAUUGCGAAAUGAAGCCAAUCCCAUAAAUUCGGUCUCAGUCCGGAUUGGAGUCUGCAACUCGACUCCAUGAAGUUGGAAUCGCUAGUAAUCGUGGAUCAGCAUGCCACGGUGAAUACGUUCCCGGGCCUU